rnacentral:rRNA from 1 species
UACGGAGGGAGCUAGCGUUAUUCGGAAUUACUGGGCGUAAAGCGCACGUAGGCGGCUUUGUAAGUUAGAGGUGAAAGCCUGGAGCUCAACUCCAGAAUUGCCUUUAAGACUGCAUCGCUUGAAUCCAGGAGAGGUGAGUGGAAUUCCGAGUGUAGAGGUGAAAUUCGUAGAUAUUGGGAAGAACACCGGUGGCGAAGGCGGCUCUCUGGACCGAUACUGACGCUGAGGCGCGAAAGCGUGGGGAGCAAACAGG